UGAAUUAGUUACAUUAGGGUUCAUAUCAGCAUGAAAAGGAGGCGCAAACCUCAUGAAACUAAGCAGACGGAACAACACGAGGACAAUAAGAUACUCAUUAAAUGAUUCUCACAACCUACAAAUCCCAGUGAAUGCACACGAGUUAAUGUGUGUGUGUGUUUGCAGAGAAUGGCAGCGGCAGGAUCUGAGGCCUGUAACCAUCACGACAGCGGGAGCUCAUCCGCUAAUUCACUAAUUGACGUCACUUGUCAGAGACAACGCCGAAGCUUUUUUGUUCACCCUACCCGGGACGCCAUUAGUUGUAAUUAACAGGCUGACUGAUCAGGUAUAAAACAUGCAACGAGACUCAGGGAAUCGCGAAAAAAACUGUAAUAUCAGUCUCUCAGACUAUGUAUUAUCUUUGCAAAAGGCUGCACAUCGUCAGACGAGAGAUUGUUGAGUCUUGUGUUCGUCUUCUUGUCACAUGCAGGAUUUUCAUCAACUGAAAAUGAAAGUGAACAAAGGUUGAUUGACAGGUGAUCCUGAGAUCAGGAUGACGGCCACGGUAGAAAACCGCAGCCACGAGAGUGAGAGCGUCUUGCUCAAGGUCCUCCGGCAGGGCACGGUGCCAUCAGCCAGUCUGUGGAACCAAGAGGCAACUUCUGCUUCUCCUGAUGAAUAAUGAGGAAACUUAACUAACAAGCGGUUUGCUGAGCUCUGCCUUCAUGUGAGCUUGUGU
ensembl:lncRNA